GCAGUCUCCGCGGCAGUCCCCAUUUCUUUUUAAAUAGGCUCAUCCUUCGUUUUCAGUCUUUUUCUUCCUACCGAGGAAUUGGCAACUGGUUGCUGGUCAUAUAAUCGUCACACGAGCAUUUAAGCACCUUUUGCGAACCUGUCUGUCUGGAACAAAGCACGAAAGCGUGAGGUGAUAGCUUUUCAAGGGCGCCGCUGCGCUUUCGGAGCGCGGCAGUUACAGGAGCCCUGCCUGUGCUCUCUGCUUUGGGUGGGUGUGACCGCUUAGCGCAAACCCUUAAGGGGAAAGUCGUGGUUAUACCAUUGAAGGCUGUGAAUGACUAGUGCUUAGAGAAAGCAGAACUCCGAGGGAAUGACCAGCGAGAAAAACACCUCCUGACAGUAAGCUUCACAAAACCACUAAAAUGUGCACGCCGAGAGUCUGUUAGAGCAGUGUGUAUGCGUUCAUGCCAUUUCCUCUCGAGUUUAUUCAACACUGCUCUGCACUAUAAAAUCAGAUCCAACUACUGUUACCACAACCAGAGCUUACCCACCGGUAUGAAGGGUGUAAACUUACGAACAGCAAGCAAAUGCCUGCGCAAGAUGGAAAUGGAGGAAAACCAGGCUUCCUAUAAGAUAUUCAAUAUCAGAAGAUAUCUGGAGUGAAUGGAGCGAAGCCAUUGUCUGCUGGAGAAAAUAUACUGUAAAAUAUGACUGAAAUCCUGUGAGUAUUUUAAAACAGUGACAUUUGUGCUAGCUGAAUAAUGGAGAGGUCAGAGGUAGAUCG
rnacentral:lncRNA from 1 species